rnacentral:rRNA from 1 species
UAAUUGAAGAGUCUGAUCAUGGCUCAGAUUGAACGUUGGCGGCAGGUCUCAUACAUGCAAGUCGAACGAAGAUACGACUUCGGUCGUUGACAAGUGGCGGACGGGUGAGUAACGCGUAGGAAUCUACCUAGUAGUGGGGAACAACUUGGGGAAACCCGAGUUAAUACCGCAUACGACCUAAGGGUGAAAGCGGGGGAUUUUCGAACCUCGCGCUAUUAGAGGAGCCUGCGUUGGAUUAGCUUGUUGGUGGGGUAACGGCCUACCAAGGCGACGAUCCAUAGCUGGUCUGAGAGGAUGAUCAGCCACACUGGAACUGAGACACGGUCCAGACUUCUACGGAAGGCAGCAGUAAAGAAUAUUGCGCAAUGGGCGAAAGCCUGACGCAGCCAUGCCGCGUGUGUGAAGAAGGCCUUUGGGUUGUAAAGCACUUUCAGUAGUGAUGAAAAUCAUGAUGUUAAUACCAUCAUGCCCUGACAUUAGCUACAGAAGAAGCACCGGCUAACUCCGUGCCAGCAGCCGCGGUAAUACGGGGGGUGCGAACGUUAAUCGGAAUUACUGGGCGUAAAGCGCGCGUAGGCGGUCUGAUAAGUGGGAUGUGAAAGCCCUGGGCUUAACCUGGGAACUGCAUUUCAAACUGUCAGACUAGAGUGUAGUAGAGGAAGGUGGAAUUUCCUGUGGAGCGGUGGAAUGCGUAGAUAUAGGAAGGAACACCAGUGGCGAAGGCGACCUUCUGGACUAACACUGACGCUGAGGUGCGAAAGCGUGGGUAGCGAACAGCGAUUAGAUACCCUGGUAGUCCACGCCGUAAACGAUGAGAACUAGCCGUCGGGUCCUUCGGGACUAGGUGGCGCAGCUAACGCGAUAAGUUCUCCGCCUGGGGAGUACGGCCGCAAGGUUAAAACUCAAAUGAAUUGACGGG